GUUUCGGUGGUCAUAGCGUGAGGGAAACGCCCGGUUACAUUCCGAACCCGGAAGCUAAGCCUCACAGCGCCGAUGGUACUGCAGG
rnacentral:rRNA from 8 species